CACACACACCCACACACGUACACACGCAGGCACACACACUCUCUCUCUGCUCCAUGAGGCAGCAGUCGCUGAGCAGCUCUGGAUAGACCACGCGAGGUUCUGCAGGUGUCCCACCCUUCUCUUGAGGCAGGGAUGCUCCAGAAGUGAUGGAAUAAGGAGGACGGUUGAAAAAGAAAGGGAUGCAAAGAGAGAGAUUCAACAAAGCACUCCAGGUCACGCUCUACAGCAAGAUGCCGCGACUGCAUGUGUUCGGUAAGGUCAGAGGCUGAAAGCUGGUCAGUGGGUGACCUGCGCGGGAUGCCUGGGUGACAUCUGACCUCUGACUGGGCGUGCAGGGUUGACCCUGGAGGACAAGGUCCGACAAUGCGAGGCACGUGCCGUGGCCUAAUCUCCAUGUUUUAUGACGUUGUCACAAAGGAGGAGCUUUCUGAUGUGGAUGGUACUGCAUCAGGAACUGAUUGGCUGAUACUUCACUCCCAACAGUACCUGAUGCAUUGCCUUCAGCAUCGAAAGAAACGUCACACGACUCCAGCUGUUUUUCAUCAAACUUACUCACUGGUUUUCUACAGACAGUAACUAACUUUGUUCAAUGAUAUUCUUUCUGUUUCUCGCUUGAAAAUAAAUAUUUGUGCAUGCACACAUUAGUCAAACCUCUGAGCUCUGAUGUCUGGCUGAAAUGGCUAUGAACAUUUUCCAACUUAUAGGAAUGAUAUAAAUAAGUCUGUGUUUGUGGUCUCUGGUGUAUAAUAUUUUCCCUCCUCAAGUCUAAACAUUGUGCCUUCGGGCCACACUGUAAUAAUUUCUGUUCACAUGGUAUUUUACUGAAUGUUGGACCCAAACCUUAGACGUUGAUAUUUUAACAAUAGGAACAUGUGGCCCCCUUGCAGAAGUUGUAGUGCUUCUUGAACUGUUUCACAUUUUCUCAGCCUACAGCCACAACUUCCUUUGUGUUUUAUUGCAGUUUUAUUUGAGACACCAACACACAGAAAUGAAUUAUUGUGAACUGGAACCAAGCAGGUUGUUUAACAACAGAAAUCUAAAACUGUGCCAUGCAUUUGAAUGUCAAGCAUUACCCUGCGGUAACACUUUAUUUGAAGGGGAGUGAAUACGACUGUCAUGACACUGUCAUAAACAUGACAUAGCACCUG